UACGAAGGGGGCUAGCGUUGCUCGGAAUUACUGGGCGUAAAGCGCACGUAGGCGGUCUUUUAAGUCGGUGGUGAAAGCCUGGAGCUCAACUCCAGAACUGCCUUUGAGACUGCAUCGCUUGAAUCCAGGAGAGGUGAGUGGAAUUCCGAGUGUAGAGGUGAAAUUCGUAGAUAUUCGGAAGAACACCAGUGGCGAAGGCGGCUCACUGGACUGGUAUUGACGCUGAGGUGCGAAAGCGUGGGGAGCAAACAGG
rnacentral:rRNA from 1 species